UACGUAGGGGGCUAGCGUUGUCCGGAAUCAUUGGGCGUAAAGAGCGUGUAGGCGGCCCGGUAAGUCCGCUGUGAAAGUCGGGGGCUCAACCCUCGAAUGCCGGUGGAUACUGUCGGGCUAGAGUGCGGAAGAGGCGAGUGGAAUUCCUGGUGUAGCGGUGAAAUGCGCAGAUAUCAGGAGGAACACCAAUUGCGAAGGCAGCUCGCUGGGACGUAACUGACGCUGAGACGCGAAAGCGUGGGGAGCAAACAGG
rnacentral:rRNA from 3 species